rnacentral:tRNA from 1 species
GUUGAGGUGGCAGAGAAAUAUGCAUUAGACUUAAAAUCUAAGGACAAACUAAGUUUUCUUAACA